GACGAACGCUGGCGGCGUGCUUAACACAUGCAAGUCGAACGGAAAGGCUCCAGCUUGCUGGAGUCCUCGAGUGGCGAACGGGUGAGUAACACGUGGGUAAUCUGCCCUGCACUCUGGGAUAAGCCUGGGAAACUGGGUCUAAUACUGGAUAUGACCUUUCUCCUUAUGGGGUUUGGUGGAAAGUUUUUCGGUGUAGGAUGAGCCCGCGGCCUAUCAGCUUGUUGGUGGGGUGAUGGCCUACCAAGGCGACGACGGGUAGCCGGCCUGAGAGGGUGAUCGGCCACAUUGGGACUGAGAUACGGCCCAGACUCCUACGGGAGGCAGCAGUGGGGAAUAUUGCACAAUGGGCGGAAGCCUGAUGCAGCGACGCCGCGUGAGGGAUGACGGCCUUCGGGUUGUAAACCUCUUUCAGCAGGGACGAAGCGUAAGUGACGGUACCUGCAGAAGAAGCACCGGCUAACUACGUG
rnacentral:rRNA from 1 species